GACAGAGGUGCCGAGCGUUAGGCGGAAUCACUGGGCUUAAAGCGUGUGUAGGCGGAUCGUUAAGUGCCUUGUGAAAUCCCACGGCUCAACCGUGGAACUGCUUGGCAUACUGGCGAUCUUGAGCCACUUAGGGGCUACCGGAACAAAUGGUGGAGCGGUGAAAUGCGUAGAUAUCAUUUGGAACGCCAUGGUGAAAACAGGUAGCUGGGAGUGUGCUGACGCUGAGACACGAAAGCCAGGGAGCAAACGGG
rnacentral:rRNA from 1 species